GCGUCGUCUUCAGAGUUUGAUCCUGGCUCAGGAUGAACGCCGGCGGCAUGCCUAACACAUGCAAGUCGAACGAAGCGAUUUGGAAUGAGACUUCGGUUGAAUGAAGAAUUGACUUAGUGGCGGACGGGUGAGUAACGCGUGAGUAAUCUGCCUUAGAUGGGGGAUAACGCUCCGAAAGGAACGCUAAUACCGCAUAACAUAACCGGAUCGCAUGAUCUGGUUAUCAAAGAUUUAUUGCUUUAAGAUGAGCUCGCGUAUGAUUAGCUAGUUGGUGAGGUAACGGCUCACCAAGGCGACGAUCAUUAGCCGGACUGAGAGGUUGAACGGCCACAUUGGGACUGAGACACGGCCCAG
rnacentral:rRNA from 1 species